rnacentral:rRNA from 1 species
GUCCGAUUAGCUAGUUGGCGGGGUAAUGGCCCACCAAGGCUAUGAUCGGUAGCUGGUCUGAGAGGACGAUCAGCCUCACUGGGACUGAGACACGGCCCAGACUCCUACGGGAGGCAGCAGUGGGGAAUAUUGGACAAUGGGGUAUACCCUGAUCCAGCCAUGCCGCGUGGCUGAUGAAGGCCUUCGGGUUGUAAAGCCCUUUUGUCGGGGACGAUAAUGACGGUACCCGCAGAAUAAGCCCCGGCUAACUUCGUGCCAGCAGCCGCGGUAAUACGAAGGGGGCUAGCGUUGUUCGGAAUUACUGGGCGUAAAGCGCGCGUAGUCGGCUCACCAAGUCGGGCGUGAAAGCCCCGGGCUCAACCCGGGAAAUGCGCUCGAAACUUGUGAGCUGGAGGCCGGAAGAGGGUAGUGGAAUUCCCAGUGUAGAGGUGAAAUUCGUAGAUAUUGGGAAGAACACCAGUGGCGAAGGCGGCUACCUGG